rnacentral:rRNA from 1 species
UACGUAGGGUGCAAGCGUUAAUCGGAAUUACUGGGCGUAAAGCGUGCGCAGGCGGCUAUGCAAGACAGAUGUGAAAAUCCCCGGGCUCAACCUGGGAACUGCAUUUGUGACUGCAUAGCUAGAGUACGGUAGAGGGGGAUGGAAUUCCGCGUGUAGCAGUGAAAUGCGUAGAUAUGCGGAGGAACACCGAUGGCGAAGGCAAUCCCCUGGACCUGUACUGACGCUCCAUGCA